GAUUAGUAUGGUGUGGAGUGACUAGGCCAUCGCGCCUUUAUUUGCACAGACUGUCUUUCGUGUCUUCCCAAUCGAUCAUCUUCCUUGCAACCGAUGCCCGUACAUACAUACGAAACUAGAGAGACCUGGCAGGGAUUGAACCAAUCCGAUUGUUUGUCCGUCCUUCCAUUCCAUUGCUCUAGCUUCUUGUUUUUGUGCAAUUCAGUCCCGAAAUCUACAUCUCUAGUUCUGCCAUGGGUGCGAGUCGAAAGCUCCAAGGGGAAAUUGACCGAGUUCUCAAGAAGGUCCAAGAAGGGGUUGACGUCUUUGACAGCAUUUGGAACAAGGUUUAUGACACCGACAAUUCCAAUCAGAAGGAGAAAUUUGAGGCGGACUUGAAGAAGGAGAUAAAGAAGCUUCAGAGAUACAGGGACCAAAUCAAGACCUGGAUUCAGUCCAGUGAGAUUAAGGAUAAGAAGGUCAGUGCCUCUUAUGAGCAGGCUUUGUUGGAUGCUCGUAAACUUAUUGAGCGUGAAAUGGAAAGAUUCAAGAUUUGUGAAAAGGAGACAAAAACUAAAGCCUUCUCGAAAGAAGGUUUGGGUCAACAGCCUAAAACUGAUCCAAAGGAGAAAGCUAAAUCAGAGACACGGGAUUGGUUGAACAAUGUGGUUAGUGAGUUGGAAUCUCAGAUUGAUAAUUUUGAAGCUGAGAUUGAGGGUUUGUCUGUGAAGAAGGGGAAAGCAAGGCCUCCUAGAUUGGUUCAUCUUGAAACAUCUAUUACCCGGCACAAGGCUCAUAUAAUGAAGCUGGAACUAAUCUUGAGACUGCUUGAUAACGAUGAAUUGAGUCCUGAGCAAGUCAAUGAUGUCAAGGACUUCUUAGAAGAUUAUGUGGAAAGGAAUCAGGAGGAUUUUGAUGAAUUCAGUGAUGUGGAUGAGCUUUACAGCUCAUUGCCACUCGAUAAGGUGGAAUCUCUUGAAGAUCUGGUUGCAAUUUGUCCUCCCAGCCUUGUGAAGGGUACACCAGCUCUCAACUUGAAGACUACACUGGCAACGUCGGCAACUCAGGUUCCUGUUACUGCUGCUCCAAAUCAUCAACAAAAUACUGUCAUUCCAGAUCAGGUUGAUGAUUCAACUUUGCCAGAUGGUAACAAUGACAUUCUUUUGAAGACCCCACCUCCUAAGAGUAGUGUCCUUGGUUCUUCUGCGGCUACAACACCCACUGGGAACCAUGCAACCUCAACUUCCUUGAAUGGUGCAGUGCAUGGGUCUGGUUUAUCCUCUACAUCGGCCAUUCUUCCUGGUUCAAGUGCUGUUCGUGCUGUAUUGGAGACUACGGGUGCUCCUAAUUCAUCUCCUGUAAAUAUGCCCACUUCUGCAAAGGAUGAAGAAAUUGCUAGCUUUCCAGGCCGUAAACUGUCUCCAUCAUUUUCGGAUUCUGGACUUGUUAGGGGUGGCAUGGGAAGAGGUGUGAUUGCUAAUCAGCCACCCUCCACUUCCUCCCACACUUCUGGUAUUGUGGUUCCUAGCAAUAUAACUCUUGGUAACGUUUCUUCUGCCUCUGAAGUGACCAAGAGAAACAUUAUGGGAGCUGAAGAACGGGCUAGUAACAGUGGCAUGGUUCAGUCCAUGGUUUCCCCUCUAAGUAAUAGAAUCGUUUUGCCUACAGCUGCUAAAGUUAGUGAUGGAACAACCACAGUUGAUCCUACCAAUGUUAGUGAUGCAGCAGCUAUAGGUGGUCGAGUUUUCUCUCCAUCUGUAGUUCCUAGCAUGCAGUGGAGGCCAGGAAGUUCUUUUCAAAAUCCGAAUGAAGGAUUUCGUGGAAGAGCUGAAAUCGCACCAGAUCAGAGGGAGAAGUUCUUGCAGCGUCUCCAGCAAGUUCAACAACAGGGCCAUAGUACACUUCUUGGCAUGACUCUUGGUGGGGGAAAUCAUAAGCAGUUUUCUUCACAACAGCAAAGUUCACUUCUACAGCAGUUCAACUCCCAAAAUUCAUCUGUUAGUUCUCAAGCUGGUCUGGGAAUUGGAGUUCAAGCACCUGGAGUAAAUGCUGUUACAUCUGGUUCAUUACAGCAGCAACCAAAUUCCUUCCAGCAGUCUAAUCAGCAGGCAUUAAUGACAAGUGGGGCAAAAGAUUCUGAUGUUGCCCAUUCAAAAGUUGAAGAGGAGCAGCAGCAGCAACAGCAGCAAAGUUUACCUGAGGAUACUACUGAUUCUGCUGCUGGUUCUGUCCUUAGAAAGAAUCUGAUGAGCGAUGAUGAUUUAAAAGGAUCAUAUCCAGUAGAUACUCCAGUUGGAUCAUUGACUGAGACAGCUUCAGUGUCGAGAGAAGAUGACCUUUCUCCUGGUCAACCUUUGCAGUCUGGCCAACCUUCUGGGAGUCUUGGUGUCAUUGGCCGAAGAAGUGUUUCUGACUUGGGUGCCAUUGGUGAUAACCUUGGUGGGUCCUCGAUGACUACUGGAGGAAUGCAUGAUCAGUUCUAUAAUUUGCAAAUGCUUGAAGCUGCAUUCUACAAGCUACCUCAGCCGAAAGACUCAGAGCGUCCAAGGAGCUAUACUCCAAGGCACCCUGCAAUUACUCCUCCGAGCUAUCCUCAAGUACAGGCCCCUAUUAUAAACAAUCCUGCUUUAUGGGACCGAUUGGGUCUAGAGACCUAUGGCACUGACACCUUGUUCUUUGCAUUUUACUAUCAACCGAACACCUAUCAACAAUAUUUGGCUGCUAGAGAAUUAAAGAAGCAAUCUUGGAGAUACCACAGAAAAUAUCAGACAUGGUUUCAACGACAUGAAGAGCCAAAAGUUGCUACGGAUGAAUAUGAGCAAGGAACUUAUGUGUACUUCGAUUUCCAUGUUAACAAUGAUGACCUACAACAUGGAUGGUGCCAAAGGAUUAAAACUGAGUUCACUUUUGAGUAUAACUACCUCGAAGAUGAACUCAAUAUAUAGAGAAACUAGAAAGAGAGAUAUAUCCGUAGCUUGACAACUACUUGUAUUAAUUAUAGUGGGUAAUGGGCGAAAAGAAUGGAAGUCAGCACAUUUUAGUCUUUGGUUCAUUAUCAGGGAAGAUUGCAGUCAGUUAAAGGUUGACUUAGCCUUUUUGUUUUCCUUUUUCUUUUUAAUUGUAAAGGACACAUGGUUAUCGGUUAUAAAGAUAUUAUAUUGCCUUCCCUUAUAAUAUAUCUUUUUAUGGUGUUCAUUGGAUCAGAUCAGACCCUUUAUUAAGCCUCUUUAUAAUA